CCUACGGGAGGCAGCAGUGGGGAAUAUUGGACAAUGGGGGCAACCCUGAUCCAGCCAUGCCGCGUGUGUGAAGAAGGCCCUCGGGUUGUAAAGCACUUUCAGUGAGGAAGAACGCCUGGUGGUUAAUACCCAUCAGGGAAGACAUCACUCACAGAAGAAGCACCGGCUAACUCCGUGCCAGCAGCCGCGGUAAUACGGAGGGUGCGAGCGUUAAUCGGAAUUACUGGGCGUAAAGCGCGCGUAGGUGGCUUGAUAAGCCGGUUGUGAAAGCCCCGGGCUCAACCUGGGAACGGCAUCCGGAACUGUCAAGCUAGAGUGCAGGAGAGGAAGGUAGAAUUCCCGGUGUAGCGGUGAAAUGCGUAGAGAUCGGGAGGAAUACCAGUGGCGAAGGCGGCCUUCUGGACUGACACUGACACUGAGGUGCGAAAGCGUGGGUAGCAAACAGGAUUAGAUACCCUUGUAGUC
rnacentral:rRNA from 1 species